UCUCCCAUUGUUUGUAGCUUUGCCCUCGGAGGUUGGAGGAGGUCAGUCUGUCCGGAGUGGAGGUGUCGUGUGGUUUUUCGACAAAUAUUAUUGUCAUUGACUAAUUUUAUUGUCGUCGACUAAUCGCUGCAUGUCUAAAACUACAGUAUAGCUCAGGGGUCGGCGACCUAAAAUGUUAAAAAAGCCAUAUUGGACCGUGUUUAAUAUUUUGUUAAAAAUUAGUCUGUGAUUCCUUUCCAGUUGGACUUUCUGCUUGUCGGUUAUAGAACUCACUCCCGCUACCCAGCAGAGCCCCGUCAGUGUGCAUCACAGAUGCAGCCGGUGGGUAUUGACGGACUACGUGUCGCGGCGCAUGCGCAAUCCUGCGUGUCCUCUGCUGCAAGCUCCGCUGGAAGUGCGCCGGGAUACGCGCCUGCUCACGCUUGCAAGGCUGCAGGCAGUCACCAACCCGCGCACCUGGGUCUGAUGAAGAAAGACAUCAUAAAGACCAGCGUACCCGAAGAUCCAGUGCAGGAACGUAGUUAACUCUUCGUAUGUUCCCCUUGUUUCCCAUGAUCGAGCUAUGUGCCUCGACUGCCUCCCUCGAUCCUCGACCCCUGCUUGGACACGGACCUCGUCGCUUCUCUCCAGCCCCGGACCUCUUGCUUGCCCACGGUCUGCCUUCUCGCCUUGCUCCUUUGGUCUGACGAAGGAUUCAUCCAUCACACUCUUACAACAAACUCUGGUAACAUUUACAUUGUUAGUUCUACACAUCAUCUUGCACCAUUCACUUUUAGUAGCAUACACAUCCUACCACUUCAUCAGCUUCAGGUUCAAUAAACCUAUUGAAAUGAUUCCUACACACUACGGACCACAAGAGUCGUUCCGUAGCGGCACAGAUCUACAGCCUUUAUGCAUUCAGCGGGAAUCCUGCUGUACUUGGGACCAUAUGAGGACUGCUGGUACAAUAACAUGGGGAAAGCAUAGCGUUUUUGGCGUGACCCCGGAUGCAGAGACGAGAGGCGGCGUGCAGACACAGUUUCGAAACAAUUAAGCAACAUCACCCCCUUCUCACGUCUACCACCUGCUACGCACCUUUCAAUGAUCCAUGUCCCGUUCUCAUUUUGUUCCAAAUGCAAAUGGACCAGAAGGGACAGGAAUAGCAGGGUUGCGGGGGGUGCUGGAGCCUAUCUCAGCUGCACUCAGGUAGAAGGCGGCGUACACCCUGGACAAGUCUCCAUCUCAUCGUAGAGGUUUUGUAUUAGUGUUCCUAGGAAUAGACACAAUUUUUUCUCAAAAUUUGGCCCCCUGAGCAAAAAUAACUGCCCAGGCCUGAUAUAGGGCAUUGUAGAACUAUGAAUAUGUCCUUUUAUUUGAAUGGGAAUGUUGAGGUUUCUCCUCUCCGAAUUCCUCGGACCACCAAGAACUGACAUGAGAGCCUGGAUCAGGUUCACAAUAUAGUUUGAUUUUGUAAUAAACUGUCUUGCUUUUCAGCAA